CAACUUUUAACGGUGGAUGUGUUGGCUCGUGCAUCGAUGAAGAACAGCACGGAGCUGCGAACGUAGUGUGAAUUGCAGAAUUCAGUGAAUCAUCGAAUCUUUGAACGCAAAUGGCGCUCUCGGUUAUACCGGGAGCAUGUCUGUCUGAGUGUUGGUU
rnacentral:rRNA from 1 species